GACUGGUCACAUGUCCUUUAAUAAACUAAACCGAGAAAAAAACACGCAAUACAAAUGUUCUUUUAUACAGCAACAUGAAACUCCAUCACAUUUUGCCACCCCAUUUCACAAAGCAAAACAUACAAAACUGAAUUACGGACCAGUGCUUUUUUUAGGCGCAUUGUAUUUUCCUUAAUCUUUUUUAGAAAACAAUUACACAAAAAGCUUUUGCUGCUCAGAUAAGCAGGCAACGGGCAAACAUGUAAGACAAGGCUAUCAGAGCCCAACUGGAGAAGCUUCAAUGGUGUGUGUGUGUGUGUGUGUUUAAGGGCAAUCAGUCUUUCCAUGUUGAUGUAAUCCAUGUUCAGAUAAGAAGCAUGGGGAAAAGGCGCCCAGUUUUAAAUAGGGCAGAAAGUUACUGAUGGUACCAUACAUUUAGGUGUAAGUCAAUUGCCUGGGAUGUAGUUGUAGGUCGUAACAGCAUUUAAAUAAAAAGAAAGAAACACUUUUGAUGCAGACGUCACAUAUUCCACAUUUGAUUGAGGGCAGAAUAAUUCAUCAAUGCUGCCUUAAUUGGCCAUGAUCAUUCAGGGGUCGCGAAGGUCAAAAGAUGAGGCACAAGGGUUAAAAGUUGGAAAGGGGAGCAAGCCUUCAUAUUAAGCUAACCAGAAGAAAGCCUGCUGGUCCUUACUCCAGUGUUGCAUUACUCUUAGUUGCACUGGACACACCAGCCUUGGUGGUAUCUUUCAAGUAGCGUGCUGCUGUGGUCUCUUUGUAGAGAGUAAUACGCUCACAGUGUGGUCAACAAUGACAGUUGGUAACAUUGAGGGUGUGAUGGGUGAGAAAAACAAUCUAAAACUCACUGCGGAUAUUUGCUGCUCAAUGUUGAACAGUUUCCAGUGUUCACCUUUAAUUCACUCAGUCAUCCUUGGCCGUGAGGGGAUAAGGAAGAGAGAAAGUGGCUUCAAGUGUUAAGUGUUGCCCUUAGUGGCAUCCUCAUUCAAACAGAACCCACCCCAUGGGCUCAGAAAUCCCUCAGAACCUUAAGAUCCCAUUCACACCCAUAACCACUCACAAUCCUCCAGCACUAUGGCAUUUUUAACCAGCCUCUCUCAAGAGUAUCAUUCACAGCAUCAUCUGAAACAUCCUCUCACCCAUUCAUUUACACACAACCUGUUGAGUCCAAACGAGGAGGCUCCUCUGCCAUGUCCUACCGAUCGGGCCCCUCAGGAGGGAAGGGGCCCCCCUGGCGUCGCAGCGGUUGCUCGGCCCAGGCGCCCGGGGUCAGCGGGCGGCGCUGUGGGUGAAGCGCAGGUCCUGGUCCUUGGGGAACUGAGGCACGGCAGCGACCCCCCGUCCCACCGGAGCCUCCUCGGCGGCGGUGGAGGGUCUGGGGGAGGAGUCCGGCUCCUUAGCGCCGUGCCGGGAGCCCCGGGCACCCUGCGCCUCCUGCGCCUCCUCCUCCUCCGAUGACGACGGGUCGCGGUGAGAGAUGAGCUGGAGCAAGGCGGCGGCCACCGCCGGCCGGAUGUCCUGGCUGUGGGGCUGGGUGGAGGGGGCUGGCGGCUGGGUGGUGGAGGAGGCACUGGGCUGGGUGGAGGAGGCAGGGGGCUGGGUGGAGGCAGAGGAGGAAGAGGGAGGAGGGCCUCGGGGUGACGGCGGGCUUUGUAGCGCCAGAGACUGAAUAGUCGUGUUCGCCACAGGGGUCUUCUUCAGCGCUGCACUGUCUGAAUGGGGUCAAGAGAGACAAUUGGUAAGAAGUUAAGACCGAUUAUAGGAUACAUGGUUAACACCAUAAUUACGGACACAGCGAGCAUUGAAAUUCUCAAGGGCCUUUAUGGUUACACCAGGAAAUUAAGACGUAGCUGAUUUUUAUUCCUACCUUCCCUCAAAGAUGGCGGGUGACAGAAUGUAAAAGCUGCACUGAUAGCAUUGUCUUUGGAAACUUCAGUUAUUACACUUACAAG
ensembl:lncRNA